rnacentral:rRNA from 1 species
GAUGAACGCUGGCGGUAUGCCUAACACAUGCAAGUCGUACGAGAGUUUUUAACUCUAGUGGCGGGACGGGUGAGUAAUGCAUCGGAACGUGCCUAUUUGUGGGGGAUAACGUAGCGAAAGUUACGCUAAUACCGCAUACGCCCUGAGGGGAAAGCGGGGGAUUCGUAAGAACCUCGCGCAAUUAGAGCGGCCGAUGUCGGAUUAGCUAGUUGGUGGGGUAAAGGCUCACCAAGGCGACGAUCCGUAGCGGGUCUGAGAGGAUGAUCCGCCACACUGGGACUGAGACACGGCCCAGACUCCUACGGGAGGCAGCAGUGGGGAAUCUUAGACAAUGGGGGAAACCCUGAUCUAGCCAUGCCGCGUGAUCGAUGAAGGCCUUAGGGUUGUAAAGAUCUUUCAGGUGGGAAGAUAAUGACUGUACCACCAGAAGAAGCCCCGGCUAACUCCGUG